GGGGCCAUCGUUCAGUGGUGGAGCAUCUAUCUGCCUUGCAUGCAGAAGGUUUUGGGUUCGAUCCCCAGUGACUUCU